rnacentral:rRNA from 1 species
UACGGAGGGUGCGAGCGUUGUCCGGAAUUAUUGGGCGUAAAGAGCGUGUAGGCGGCCAGGCAGGUCCGCUGUGAAAACUCGAGGCUCAACCUCGAGAGGUCGGUGGAAACCGUCUGGCUAGAGUCCGGAAGAGGAGAGUGGAAUUCCCGGUGUAGCGGUGAAAUGCGCAGAUAUCGGGAAGAACACCCGUGGCGAAGGCGGCUCUCUGGGACGGUACUGACGCUGAGACGCGAAAGCGUGGGGAGCGAACAGG